rnacentral:rRNA from 1 species
GAUCCUGGCUCAGGAUGAACGCUGGCGGCGUGCUUAACACAUGCAAGUCGAACGAAGCACUUUUGACAGAUUCUUCGGAUGAUGGAUUUAGUGACUGAGUGGCGGACGGGUGAGUAACGCGUGGGUAACCUGCCUCAUACAGGGGGAUAACAGUUAGAAAUGACUGCUAAUACCGCAUAAGCGCACAGUACCGCAUGGUACCGUGUGAAAAACUCCGGUGGUAUGAGAUGGACCCGCGUCUGAUUAGCUAGUUGGUGGGGUAACGGCCUACCAAGGCGACGAUCAGUAGCCGACCUGAGAGGGUGACCGGCCACAUUGGGACUGAGACACGGCCCAAACUCCUACGGGAGGCAGCAGUGGGGAAUAUUGGACAAUGGGCGCAAGCCUAAUCCAGCGACGCCGCGUGAGCGAUGAAGUAUUUCGGUAUGUAAAGCUCUAUCAGCAGGGAAGAAAACGACGGUACCUGACUAAGAAGCCCCGGCUAACUACGUG